CACUGCACUGUUCUAUUGACCUGCACCAGGAAUACCUUGUUCUGUGCUGAUGACUCAGAUGUAAGAAUGAUGAAGUGAAUAGGUUGGAACCUAGGAAACGAUAAAAAAGAACAGAGUUGAAGAGAAUGAUUAAGGGAAGAGCAGGAGGAACUAUAUAAUACUUGCCAAGUACUAUAAAUAGGAAUCUAGAACCAUGUAAUCCGAUUCUGACCGCAACUGAUGAUUGAACUUGACUUUAUUUUUCGAUACUUUCAUUUAAUUCUAUAUCCCUCAUUAUACGUGAACAACACGCCAGUAUAGUAAAUCAUGAAAUGGGAGUGAAGCCUGUAAUUUUAAUUAACAUAUUUUAUGAUGCUUCUGAUUUGUAUGCAUUUGAUCAAAUUUUCAUUUACAGUGAGCCACUUUUCUUUCUCAUGUAAUGUUUGACAUUGCCAUUUCUUUCUUUAAUGAAAUAAUUAUAUUUAAUAAAACGCAUUAAGUUCUUAA
rnacentral:lncRNA from 1 species